rnacentral:rRNA from 1 species
ACUUGCUUUCUUUGCUGGCGACCGGCGCACGGGUGAGUAACACGUAUCCAACCUGCCCUUUACUCGGGGAUAGCCUUUCGAAAGAAAGAUUAAUACCCGAUGGUAUAAUAAAACCGCAUGGUUUAAUUAUUAAAGAAUUUCGGUUAUCGAUGGGGAUGCGUUCCAUUAGGCAGUUGGUGAGGUAACGGCUCACCAAACCUUCGAUGGAUAGGGGUUCUGAGAGGAAGGUCCCCCACAUUGGAACUGAGACACGGUCCAA